CCUGAUUUCUGUAAAAGAUAGACAGGAACAUGGGCAGGAUGUUUAUACAGCAAAAUGUAAACAUUUUCCCUGGCCUUUUUAAAAUAAAAAAAUCAAGCAAAAGCCACGUUACAUCAGCUAAUACUCAAUCUGAUACGAUAUGCCCGUCUGUUCGCAGCGUCUUGUGUAGAUGUUGGACAUUUUUACACAUGAAUAUUGUUUGUGUAAUGCAGUCAUAAUAUUUACGCAGAGACGCAGGAGGAGCGAGGUGGAAGCUCUGCCGAACUGUGAGCACAGAAACUCGGACGGGGACUUGAGAUCGAAUCCUGCAGGCAGUUUACCAUCGAAUGAUCCAGGAAUGAAGACUGGAGUGGGCAGGCGUGCGGCUUUGGCCACAGGAAGCUGUGAAUUCUUUGGAGAAUGGAAGAUGUCUUAUGGGGAGACUUACUGGCCCCCCACCCACCCACUCACCACCCUAAAAUGACACCUGACCCCUUCAUGUGUUUAUAUCAGACCAUGGAAGUGAGAAAUAGUGAUGAGUCACUCUGGCUGUGUGUUUACACUCCGGAGUCACGCAAGGAAGGAAAUCAGCCACGGUCUGCUAAAAGUAGCGAGGUGAGAGAGAAUAGCUGCAGUCCCCCAGCGCUGCAGUGAUUUACCUCUCAGAGCCAGAAUUUAUUUCACGUCAUCUCGGCUACGAAGACUUUCGACCAACAGAAAACAGCAACAUUAGCAGCGCAGUAGACUGUUGACGAGGAAAAGGCAACUCAACACGGGCCAUAAACAAAAGGUAGUCACUAAGGAUAGGUGCACAGUAUGUGUGUGCGUCGCUGCCAUACUGAUUAUUUCAAGGGAUAAAACAAAGUCUUAUUAGAUACACAUUGUCGAUCACAUCCAGUUUCUUUCUAACCGAGACAGGUAAAACACACAUGCCACUGUCAUAGAAUGAAAACCUGUAUCUCCACACAUUCCAUGUUUCUUCAAGAAAAACAGUUUCCAGCUUGAUGACCACACAUUUCACUGUGUAAUUCAUCUUGAAAAUUUUCAGAAACCUUUUUUUAUUCUGCUACAAGGAGAGUAUCUGAUUGCUCAAUUAAAUUUAAAAAUGAAAAUCACCAAUACUGGAGUUAGGGUUUUUAUCCAACAGCAAUUAUAUGUAUUUAGGAUAUUCCACUGAUGGAAUAUAGAGUUCAACAAAAAUAUUCCAAGUUUCAGAGUUUUCUUUUAUUAUCAUUGAUAUACUAUAUUGAUAUCAAGUUUUAAAAAAACCUGAAUCAUUUUAAUUUCAUCCACAAUUCAAAUUUCUGGUUAUGAUUUCCUGCAAAAGAAAAAUGUAAAAAGUAAUCAAACAAUUGAAGGCCCUAACUAACCACCUACCUAAGAAAUUAUUAUGUAGCACUUUAUCAUCUUUCUUGAUACUUAAAAGCCAGUUUGAUAUUUUAUCUAACAUUUUGUCUGAUAUUUUGUCUGACAUUGUGUCUAUCACAGGUAUAUCUCAGGUUGCACUAAGUUUAGAAACAAGUUUAUAUAAUUAUAUAUUAUAUAAUUAUAAUUAUUACAUAUAUAUUAUAUUUAAGUGGAUUUUAUGAAAGCAAGCCAGCAAGCAUCAUAUCUUAUGAGUGAUAUAUGUGUUUGUGACAAAGAUUUAAUAAAAAUACCAAAUACAUUAAAAGUUUGUAGGGUUCCCAAAAAUGUAAUGUCUUUAAUGUCUUAUUUUAAUGACUUUAAUAAAACAGGCAAGUUAGAUGUUGAACUGAGAUCUUAUUAAAGAGGUAGACAUGGUGCUUAGGUCUUUACACUCAUCCCUUAAACUGUUGUAACAUUUUCAGCAUCUUCAUCUUACAGAUCAUACAACAGCCUGUGCAUUAGUUUAUAUUGACAAUAACUGAUGUGCCUUACAGGUUACUGUAGAAUUUAUAGCCUCAAAAAUACAAUAUUAUAAUGAGAAUUUGCUUAUUGUAUUAUAAAAUGUGUUUGUGAUAUAUGUGAAUGAGUGAUCUUACGGUAUCAUUGCUGUAUGAACCACACUCGACACGUAUUGCAUUGCACUUUGGAGGACUUUAUGUUCAAUGUACUGUAAGGUGUGUUUACUGUGGCUAAGACCAGUGUUUCAAAAAUAGUGCCAUUGUUGUCCUCCACACUGAGCGACUUUAGAUUUUGAGAUUGCACAACUGUUGUUUUCAAGAGACAGCUGUAGUUACUGCAGCUGUGCUCUGUAAAUAAAAGUGACACUUUAUUUCUUUCCAUCAUUAUAUUGGUGCAAGUAACUUCAUUGCUGACUGUCGCGAGUAUCGUGUUACACACCCCCAUACACACCGCCACAAUGAGAGAGUCAGCGGCUCUUAUUUUGGCUGAUCUCUUCUGAAUUGUAAGUCCUGUCAGGGGCUUUGAUUGAUAGUUGUGUUUAUCACCAUAUUAUUAAGUAAUCAGGCUCACCACAGCAGGGCCUGAAGCUCCUUAAUUCCAGCUAAAGCACACAGCUACAUGCUAAUUAAAGGUUUGGCAAAAGUGUUUAUUUUUGUGAAUUUUUAAAAUAUAGUCUGUGUUUUUAUGAGAGUGCACUGAUUGUUGCAUUUGUAUCCUCUCUGGAACAUUUAGUACCAACCUUUACUGUUGUAUCUUCAUUAGAGAGAUCAUGGUUAUUCACAAGGACAGUGGAGAGAAAAUCAUCCCACAUAAGCUGCACGUAGAGCUUAAAAGUCUUGCUUUUCAGUAAAUAAUAACGUACUGUUUUACAAUACUGUAAAUCCUGCAAAAUGACAAGGUCCAUGCAGUACAGUAUCUGCAUAUAUAACAUGAGAGGGUCAAUCAGUCUAUGUUCUGUGUAUCAGCAGAGGUUUCCUCUUGCUUCGUUAAUAGAGCCUGCGGCAGGCUGCGUUUGUGUAUUCCUGAGGUAAACACAGUCAUGGCAAAGUGAACAUGCUGCUGAGUGUGUCCUGACUGGAGACAGAGAGCACUGUGGCAGUGUACUGACUGAGACACUGGCAGCUCUCUAGAGGUAGGGUUAAUGUGACGAAUGGCCAUUUGGUAAUGGGCCAUGUAUUAGGGUGAAAUAGCUCUUUUAAAAGCCCGAGCUUGAGCCGUUACUAUGGGCAGUUGAGAUUGAGGAAUCAAUCAGGCAGCAGAUGUUUCUUGUUGGAUCAGUCAACUCUGUCUCGCUCUCUCUUUCAACCAAAUGACGGAAGAAUUGCUUGAGGACUGUAUGUAGCAAUGAAACAAAAAUGUAAAUUCAUGCAGUCAAAAACAUCAGUGAUGCCAUAUUGUUUAAAAGAAAUCUUAGACAAAAACAAUUAGGCCAAUUUUCGGAACUGUAUGCAUAAACUGAUUGAUCCUUAAACAAGGUGAAAAAUGUAAUCAUAUUUUUUCUUUAGUACUGUGAACACUGCAGGCUCUCUCUCAGCCACCAGACUGUAUGUGCUUCUUGUUCAAACCACCUCAGUGUCAGCCAGCGAGGAUGGUGCUGUACUUAUCAAUGAGUACCUGCGGUGCAUAUUUAUUUCUACCCAUUGUAGGAAUUAUUGUACACACACUAGAUUUCCAGUAAUACAAAAAUACCUAUAUUUUGUUGUCCUGUAUAUUCAGAUUUAGGAAUUUCUAUCCACAAAGUGAAACACAUAAUGUGGAAAGUGUACAAUUUUUCAUAUCCCAUACAAAUACGUGUAUGUUACUAAAGAAGUUUAGAGGUGUUAAUGUAAUUAUGAGGGUUUUUUGUGCAAUAGUUGUUCCCAUAUUGCCUAUUACUAUCAUACUGUAGCCUUUUUAUCAUUAUAUGUUGCAUACUCUAUGUAUUGAUUUAUCUUUUCUGUAACACUUUCUAUGACGGCCACGUCUAUAAUGCAUUGUAAUGCAUUAUAAACAUACUUAUAAUACGUUAUACUGUGCUUAUAGUAAUGUAUAAUGAUAGUUAUAAGCACUCAUAAAUAUUCAUUCUGUUUUAUAACAAUAACCAUAACACAUUAUAAAGCAUUUUAUAAUGACUUAUGCGGUCAAUUAUCAUAAUACUUCAUAAUUGCUGGUCACUCAAAGACAUUGUUUUGGCAAGGUAUUGACAAGGAUAAUUCUCAUAGUUGUAAUACAUUAUGACCAUUUUAUAAUGCAUUAUAAUGUGAUUAUAGGUUACUCUAAGUGGUCAUUGGGUGCUUUAAGUAAAGUAAUGAAAUUCCUGAGGUAUAGGCAGUUAUAAUACGUUACAAGCUGGUUAUAAGGCACUAUAAGUGGUCAUUGUUUGCUUUAAGUAAAGUGAAGAAAAAUGCAUUGUAAGUAUGUUUAUAAUGCAUUGUAGACAUAGGCUUCUUAGAAAGUGUUACCUUUUUUCUUUUGAAAUAAAUACAUUUUCACAGUGUUUUGGA